rnacentral:rRNA from 1 species
UACGGGGGGGGCAAGCGUUGUUCGGAAUUACUGGGCGUAAAGAGCGCGCAGGCGGUCGUUUCAAGUCGAGUGUGAAAGCCCCCGGCUUAACUGGGGAGGGUCAUUCGAUACUGUUUAACUUGAAGGCAGGAGAGGGUAGUGGAAUUCCCGGUGUAGUGGUGAAAUGCGUAGAUAUCGGGAGGAACACCAGUGGCGAAGGCGACUACCUGGCCUGUUCUUGACGCUGAGGCGCGAAAGCUGGGGGAGCAAACGGGG